CAGCAGCCGCGGGAAUACGGAGGGUGCAAGCGUUAAUCGGAAUUACUGGGCGUAAAGCGCACGCAGGCGGUCUGACAAGUCAGAUGUGAAAUCCCCGGGCUUAACCUGGGAACUGCAUUUAAAACUGUCAGGCUGGAGUCUUGUAGAGGGGGGUGGAAUUCCAGGUGUAGCGGUGAAAUGCGUAGAGAUCUGGAGGAAUACCGGUGGCGAAGGCGGCCCCCUGGACAAAGACUGACGCUCAGGUGCGAAAGCGUGGGGAGCAAACAGGAUUAGAUACCCGCGUAGUCCCUGUCUCUUAUAC
rnacentral:rRNA from 1 species